GCUUACGGCCAUAUCAGCCUGGGUAUGCCCGAUCUUGUCUGAUCUCGGAAGCUAAGCAGGUUCGGGCCUGGUUAGUACUUGGAUGGGAGACCGCCUGCGAAUACCAGGUGCUGUAAGCA
rnacentral:rRNA from 1 species